rnacentral:rRNA from 1 species
UCGAGCGAACAGACGAGGAGCUUGCUCCUCUGACGUUAGCGGCGGACGGGUGAGUAACACGUGGAUAACCUACCUAUAAGACUGGGAUAACUUCGGGAAACCGGAGCUAAUACCGGAUAAUAUAUUGAACCGCAUGGUUCAAUAGUGAAAGACGGUUUUGCUGCCACUUAUAGAUGGAUCCGCGCCGCAUUAGCUAGUUGGUAAGGUAACGGCUUACCAAGGCAACGAUGCGUAGCCGACCUGAGAGGGUGAUCGGCCACACUGGAACUGAGACACGGUCCAGACUCCUACGGGAGGCAGCAGUAAUGAAUCUUCCGCAAUGGGCGAAAGCUUGACGGAGCAACGCCGCGUGAGUGAUGAAGGUCUUCGGAUCGUAAAACUCUGUUAUUAGGGAAGAACAAAUGUGUAAGUAACUAUGCACGUCUUGACGGUACCUAAUCAGAAAGCCACGGCUAACUACGUGCCAGCAGCCGCGGUAAUACGUAGGUGGCAAGCGUUAUCCGGAAUUAUUGGGCGUAAAGCGCGCGUAGGCGGUUUUUUAAGUCUGAUGUGAAAGCCCACGGCUCAACCGUGGAGGGUCAUUGGAAACUGGAAAACUUGAGUGCAGAAGAGGAAAGUGGAAUUCCAUGUGUAGCGGUGAAAUGCGCAGAGAUAUGGAGGAACACCAGUGGCGAAGGCGACUUUCUGGUCUGUAACUGACGCUGAUGUGCGAAAGCGUGGGGAUCAAACAGGA